rnacentral:rRNA from 1 species
ACUCCUACGGGAGGCAGCAGUGGGGAAUUUUGGACAAUGGGCGAAAGCCUGAUCCAGCCAUUCCGCGUGCAGGAUGAAGGCCCUCGGGUUGUAAACUGCUUUUGUACAGAACGAAAAAGCUCUGGCUAAUACCUGGAGUCCAUGACGGUACUGUAAGAAUAAGCACCGGCUAACUACGUGCCAGCAGCCGCGGUAAU